AUGGCAUUGCGACUCUGCCAGGACGGCGGCUCGCAAGGCGAGUCGAACCGUCAAGAGGGAGAGGAAGAAGCAGGCGCUGAACCGGGAGAGGAAGAAGCGGGCGCUGAACCGGGGCGGGGGACUUGGGAGAUUUGGCAAGAGGACGACGCCGGCCGUGUUGCAGGUGGCGUUCAUGAUCCUGGUUGCGAUCGCGGCCACGGCGCUGUCGGUGAAACUGGUGACACAGAUGUAGCCGAUGCUUAUGACUAUGACGAUGACAAAGAAGACAAAGACUAUGAAGAAGAAGAAGAAGACGUCCUCGCCGAUGAUGAUGAAGAAGAAGAAGAAGACGUCCUCGCCGAUGAUUAUGACGAUGACGAUGAAGAAGAAGACAAAGGCUAUGAAGAAGAAGAAGAAGGAGAAUUAGAAGAAGAAGAAGACGACGACCUCGACCCGCGAGGACGAGGCCGCACCGAAGAGGCCGUGGCGGCGGCGCGAGACGAGGCCUCCUCGUUCAUGGCCUACUUUCCGCCAGAGAUAGAGGACUCGGUGAUCGCCAUGACCAACCUCGAAGCGGACAGGCGCAGGCCCGCCAUCGACGGGUGGAAGCCCAUGGGGCGCGUCGAGUUCCGGGCCUACGUGGGGCUGCUGGUGCUCGCCGGCGUGUACAGGUCCCGGGGAGAGGCCUGCGAGAGCCUGUGGGACGCCGAGAGCGGCAGGUCCGUGUUCAGAGCCGCGAUGCCGCUCAAGACCUUUCGAGCCUACUCGAGCGCGCUGCGCUUCGACGACAGAGAGACGGCUACGACAAACUGGCCCCCAUCAGAGCCGUGUGGGACGAGUGGUGCGCGAGGCUGCCCGCCAUGUACCGCCCGGGACCGGAGGUCACCGUCGACGAGAGACUGGUGCCGUUCAGAGGUACGUGAGUCUGCGACGUGUGUAUUGUGUGCGUGCGUGACCGGGGGGGAGAGAGGGGCACGAAGGAGGAAGAGGAGCGUGUACGACAACAACGCUAGCUUUGGUGUAUCGUUGUUGGGUUCUGCGCUUGCGCGUGUGCUCUCUGUCAAACUCGCGUCUCUCUUCUUUCUCUCUCGCCAAUCAGGAAGGUGUCCGUUCAGACAGUACAUGCCCAGCAAACCGGCCAGGUACGGGAUCAAGAUAUGGGUGGCGUGCGACGCGCGCUCCAGCUAUGCGUGGAAGAUGCAAGUCUACACCGGCAAGCCCGACAAGCGCGGCCCUCCCGAAAAGCACCUGGCCACCCGAGUGGUCGUGGACCUCACCGAGGGACUGGCGCCGGGACGCAACGUCACGUGCGACAACUUUUUCACCUCGCGCGAGCUCGCCGACAGGCUCUUUCGCGAAAGAGGCCACACCGUGCUGGGCACUCUGCGAUCGAACAGACCCGAGAUCCCCAGAGAGCUGCGCUGCGUCAAGGGCAGGGCUGUGGGCUCCGUGGAAUCCGUAGUACUCGGCGGCUCUGCGGGACCGAGAAGAGGAGGAGGAGGAGGAGGACGAGGAGGAGGAAGAGGGCCAGACACGAUCAUCCUCUCCUACGUGGCCAAGAAGAACAAGAACGUGCUGCUCCUCACCACCGCUCCUCGCUACCACCACCACCACCACCGCCGCUCCGGCCCCGAGCCCCGGCCUAGCCGCAGCAACAGCGGCGGCGGCGGCAAACCUCCCUUGGUGCUGCAUUACAACCGCACCAAGGGAGGCGUCGACAACCUGGACAAGGUCGUGAGCACGUACAGCUGCAGGAGAAAGACCUGCAGGUGGCCC
ensembl:lncRNA